GUACAGUGUAGUGUAGGUACAUUCUUAAUCGAGUUCAGCAAUAUAAUUUUUUUAUAAAUCAACUAUUAAGGCAUAUACAUAUAUCAAGACUACAUUACAUAAUAGCAUAAACACAAAGAUGGGAUGUUUUUCGUAAAUAUGUUAAAAAUCUUACUGUAAAACCAUUAAGUGCAACUCGAUGGUUUAGUAGAAUAGACGCUGUUCGACCAAUUAGAUUUCAAAUUGCUGAAAUUUAUGGUGCACUGGAAGAAAUAUCAGAAGACAUUUGACUUACGAGUGUAACUGGCGUUCGAAGUCGUUCUGAAGCUAAAGCACUAAGAAUUGUAUUAACACUACCAGUAACUGCAGCUUCAGCUGAAAGAUGCUUUUCAAAACUAAAAAUUGUAAAGAACUAUCUAAGAUCACAAAUUUCUCAGGAUUGUUUAGUUGGAUUGGCCACAAUUUCAAUUGAAAAUCAAAUUGCGAAUGAUCUUGACAUUGACGAUUUAGUUAAAGAUUUUGCGUCAUCAAAUGCAA